CGGCGCGUCGACAUCCUGGCUCAGGACGAACGCUGGCGGCGUGCUUAACACAUGCAAGUCGAACGAAGAGCGAUGGAAGCUUGCUUCUAUCAAUCUUAGUGGCGAACGGUGAGUAACGACGUAUACAACCUCGUCCCUUCCAGGGAGGGGGGAACCAACAGGUUAGGAAAACGACUGACUAAUACCGCAUACGUAUUUAAUCGUCGGCAUCGGAGGAUAGAUAGGAAAGGGUCGGCCUCUACAUAGUAAGCUAUCACUAGGAAGGGAGGGUAUUGCGUCUGUAUAGCUAGUGGAGGGGUAACGGCCCACCAAGGCGAUGAUCAGUAGCCGGUCUGAGAGGAUGAACGGCCACAUUGGGACUGAGGCACGGCCC
rnacentral:rRNA from 1 species